AUGAAUCCUUUUGUAGCUCAUCAUUUAUUGGCAAAGAUAGAAAAGGUCAAUAUGAAGGAGGAGAAAGAAACAAUAGUAACGUGGUCCCGGGCAUCUAGCAUUCUACCCACAAUGGUUGGCCAUACAAUCGCGAUUCAUAAUGGAAAGGAACAUAUACCUAUUUACAUAACAAAUCCUAUGGUAGGUCGCAAAUUGGGGGAAUUCGUGCCUACUCGGCAUUUCACGAGUUAUGAAAAUGCAAGAAAGGAUACUAAAUCUCGUCGUUAA
rnacentral:rRNA from 1 species